rnacentral:rRNA from 1 species
UACGUAUGGGGCAAGCGUUAUCCGGAAUUAUUGGGCGUAAAGAGUGCGUAGGUGGUUACCUAAGCGCAAGGUUUAAUCUUGAGGCUCAACCUCAUUCUGCCUUGCGAACUGGGCUACUUGAGUGCAGGAGGGGAAAGCGGAAUUCCCAGUGUAGCGGUGAAAUGCGUAGAUAUUGGGAAGAACACCGGUGGCGAAGGCGGCUUUCUGGACUGUAACUGACACUGAGGCACGAAAGCGUGGGGAGCAAACAGGAUUAGAUACCCGGGUAGUCCCUGAGCGGG